CAUAGAUGCCCCAGAAGGAAUAGUAAAUAUUUUAGAUAUCAAUACUGACAAGACCCAUGUGAAUGAAAGUGGUCCUUCUACAUCAAACAGCAGCGAGUCGUUGAAGGGCAAGACGAAGACAAGAAACAGAUGGACAGAACCAGCUACGAAGAAAAUGUUGGAAGCUUACGAGGCUUU